rnacentral:rRNA from 1 species
GCUUUACACAUGCAAGUCGAACGGCAGCACGGGUGCUUGCACCUGGUGGCGAGUGGCGAACGGGUGAGUAAUGCAUCGGAACGUAUCCAAUAAUGGGGGAUAACGCAUCGAAAGGUGUGCUAAUACCGCAUACGCCCUGAGGGGGAAAGUGGGGGACCGUAAGGCCUCACGUUAAUGGAGCGGCCGAUGUCAGAUUAGCUAGUUGGUGGGGUAAAGGCCCACCAAGGCGACGAUCUGUAGCUGGUCUGAGAGGAUGAUCAGCCACACUGGAACUGAGACACGGUCCAGACUCCUACGGGAGGCAGCAGUGGGGAAUUUUGGACAAUGGGGGCAACCCUGAUCCAGCCAUGCCGCGUGAGUGAAGAAGGCCUUCGGGUUGUAAAGCUCUUUCGCAAGGGAAGAAACGGCGUUAUCUAAUAAAUAGCGUUAAUGACGGUACCUUGAUAAGAAGCACCGGCUAACUACGUGCCAGCAGCCGCGGUAAUACGUAGGGUGCGAGCGUUAAUCGGAAUUACUGGGCGUAAAGUGUGC